rnacentral:rRNA from 1 species
CCCAGACUCCUACGGGAGGCAGCAGUGGGGGAUAUUGCACAAUGGGGGGAACCCUGAUGCAGCGACGCCGCGUGGGUGAAGAAGUAUUUCGGUAUGUAAAGCUCUGUCAGCAGGGAAGAAAGAAAUGACGGUACCUGACCAAGAAGCCCCAGCUAACUACGUGCCAGCAGCCGCGGUAAUACGUAGGGGGCAAGCGUUAUCCGGAAUUACUGGGUGUAAAGGGAGCGUAGACGGUGAUGCAAGUCUGGAGUGAAAGGCGGGGGCCCAACCCCCGGACUGCUCUGGAAACUGUAUGACUUGAGUGCAGGAGAGGUAAGCGGAAUUCCUAGUGUAGCGGUGAAAUGCGUAGAUAUUAGGAGGAACACCAGUGGCGAAGGCGGCUUACUGGACUGUAACUGACGUUGAGGCUCGAAAGCGUGGGGAGCAAACAGGAUUAGAUACCCUGGUAUA